rnacentral:lncRNA from 1 species
AACCAAGCAAUGCAAGGAAGACAGAUGAGUCCAUGCAUUUCGUUUGCCUGGAUUCUUUCAUCAACAUCACUCGUCUCUUUUGUUGCUGGCUUUCCCUGAACAUUCUCCCUCCCAUGUUUGCUUCAGCUGUACCUUUCCUUCACCUCUCUGUUCCACUGAGCCCAGCCAAAGGACGUUCCGAGAACCCUUAAGGUUCUACUUCCGUGAGGCAGCAUUCUUCAGUGUCUUUCGGGGAGUACUCAUUUCCCCUUGCUGUGGAGCGAGCAUCUCAUGUUGUAUACAGCACAUAUCCCCUUCCCUUUUGUUUUCUAUCCCAAUGAACAUUACACUGGGUUCCUUCACAUUAUGGCACUUCCCGCAGUUGGCAGUUCCAACCUCCCACCCAGGGCUCCCAUUGUCCCUGGGCACUCAGGACAGCUUGCAGCAAAUCACCAGGACGGAGAGGGCACUCGGGACUCUCAAGUAGGGAUGAGCCGCCAGAAUCUGGUCGAACAUCAGGUUUUGCUCAGCGUCCGGGAAGGCCAUUCACAAAGGCCACCCUCAGAGCGCUUUUCUCUGCAGAAGCCUGGUCCUGGGUGGAGCACCAGGGCUUGCUUGGGCUCCCUGGCUAUUGUGGCUCUGGAUGGCGUGGCCAAAUGUGCGCACAUCUGACUGGGCAUCGAGUUUUGGAGGCGUGUGUAGAAGAAAGGCCUCCCUUCGAAGAAAUUCUCCGAG